UGGGGGGCAUAUAUUGAUGCAGCUAAUUGACCUGCGACCAUGUGGCAACAUUAAGAAAGAUCAAUAUAUUUUUGAUUUAAUGAUAAAGUACCACAUCGAUCAAAUCAACUUUAAGACUCAUUGAUAUUAUUGUAAGAUUAGGUCAGAUGUGUAUCGAUCUGGUAUUAUAUAUGUCCAACAGAUUCACUUGCCGAUCUACCACCAGGA
rnacentral:lncRNA from 1 species